rnacentral:tRNA from 1 species
AAUAUUAUGUCUGAAAAAGAAGUAAAUUGUAAAUUUACAUAUAAAGAUUAAAAUUCUUUUAAUAUUA